GAAGGCAGCGUGAAGACGCUGAGGUCUCUCUGUGCAUUGACCGUUUCUCUCUCAACCUUUUUACCACAACAGUGCAACUCAGCCUGGGGUUGCACCCAGCACACACCAGCGGCCCCACCAGGAACCGGCUGUCCUCAGAACAGUCCUGGGGGCCAAUCCACUAUGGUGGCCCACUUCACAGAUGGGGAAACUGAGGCUGAGAGAGCAGAACUCAGCCUGGGACUGCACCCAGCUCACACCAGGGGCCCCACCAGGAACCGGCUGUCCUCAGAACAGUCCUGCGGGCCCAAGCCACUAUUGUGGCCCCCUCACAGAUGGGAAACCGUCCUCCACAUCCAACUGUUUGCUCCCGCAUCUGGCAGCGUCAUGGCGCUGUGGCCUCCUCGCCUGCGUCCUUGACAAGCAAGGCGAAAAGCGAGUUUCAAAAUAUAGUCAGAGUUGCCUUAGCCUGUACCCAGGACACAUUUUCGGACUGGGACCAUCCACCGUGAACAUGAUGAGGUAAAUACAGCGGGAAGAGCCAGGUGUCCUGCAUGAGUGUGAACCUCCCAGGAUCCAUGAGGGGCCGGCAGGGCGUGGCUGACUCGUGCGCUGCCACGUCCUCCCCCAGGCCAAGUGCUUCUUCUAGUGGCCGUGAGUGACUCUUGCUCCCUGGCACCAGACUGAGUGCUGCUGCCACUUGUGACCGGCCGAGGCCACCAGCUCCCUGCGGCUCUCAGGCCCUCCCUGCUCCCUGGU